rnacentral:rRNA from 1 species
GACGAACGCUGGCGGCGUGCUUAACACAUGCAAGUCGAACGGAAAGGCCCUGCUUUUGUGGGGUGCUCGAGUGGCGAACGGGUGAGUAACACGUGAGUAACCUGCCCUUGACUUUGGGAUAACUUCAGGAAACUGGGGCUAAUACCGGAUAGGAGCUCCUGCUGCAUGGUGGGGGUUGGAAAGUUUCGGCGGUUGGGGAUGGACUCGCGGCUUAUCAGCUUGUUGGUGGGGUAGUGGCUUACCAAGGCUUUGACGGGUAGCCGGCCUGAGAGGGUGACCGGGCAACUUGGGACUGGGAAUAGGCCCCGACUCCUACGGGAGGCAGGCGUGGGGAAUAUUGCACAAUGGGCCGAAGCCUUAAGCAGCAACGCCGCGUGCGGGAUGACGGCCCUUGGGUUGUAAACCGCUUUCGCCUGUGACGAAGCGUGAGUGACGGUAAUGGGUAAAGAAGCACCGGCUAACUACGUG